CAUUGGUCAAAAUUUUAUACUACAUUAACAAGGUCUGCAAAAAAAACAAUUGAGACAUUUAAAACAAAUAAUUAUCUUAAUCCUUCAUAAAUCUAACUCUUUCUUUCUUGUAAACACAAAAUAUAACAUGAUUAGUGUGUGAUAAAGAGAGGCCAAUAUCACAAUAUCUAUCAUAACAUGCUCAACAAACAUGUGAUAGAAUCCUUCACCAUCUAACACACCAAAAUAACACAAAUUUACAAAACACAUCAAAAGAUAGUCAGCUAAAAUCCCAGCUAUGAAAUCACAAAUCCGAUGAAUUUUGCCGAGAAACAAACAGGAGCAAUGUAGAAGCAAAAUGGGACAUGUGAGCAACAAUUGAAUAGAGAGCUAUGGUGAGGGGCACUUUGCAAGUCCCUGGGUAACAAGAGCCUUGAUGCCAUGGAUCCAGAAGAAAAUGGUCUCUGCAACAACAACAGCAACCUCACACUCACGCACACUAUUGCAACACUUCCACUCAGCCUCACAAAACAAACAUACAUACAAUCACACAAACAUGCACACAAACUAACAGAUAAACAGAUGAACAAACAAACCCACACUACACCAGCAAUGAGGAACAGCAAGAGCGAUGGGCGUUGCUGGAGCUGGUCACCAGCAUAAGUCGAUAGGAGGGGGAGAGAGAGCUCAUAAUGUGUUGCAGUGUGUGUGUGUGUAUGUGUGUGUACCUAGAGAGUUUGUGGCUUCAUUGCAGGACUGGUUGAGAGAGAGCGGCACCGGG
rnacentral:lncRNA from 1 species